AGCGGUACAGAUCCAGCUUGCUGGAUGCUGACGAGCGGCGGACGGGUGAGUAAUGCAUAGGAAUCUGCCCGAUAGUGGGGGAUAACCUGGGGAAACCCAGGCUAAUACCGCAUACGUCCUACGGGAGAAAGGGGGCUCCGGCUCCCGCUAUGGGAUGAGCCUAUGUCGGAUUAGCUAGUUGGUGAGGUAACGGCUCACCAAGGCCACGAUCCGUAGCUGGUCUGAGAGGAUGAUCAGCCACAUCGGGACUGAGACACGGCCCGAACUCCUACGGGAGGCAGCAGUGGGGAAUAUUGGACAAUGGGGGAAACCCUGAUCCAGCCAUGCCGCGUGUGUGAAGAAGGCCCUCGGGUUGUAAAGCACUUUCAGCGAGGAAGAACGCCUAACGGUUAAUACCCGCUAGGAAAGACAUCACUCGCAGAAGAAGCACCGGCUAACUCCGUGCCAGCAGCCGCGGUAAUACGGAGGGUGCAAGCGUUAAUCGGAAUUACUGGGCGUAAAGCGCGCGUAGGUGGCUUGAUAAGCCGGUUGUGAAAGCCCCGGGCUCAACCUGGGAACGGCAUCCGGAACUGUCAAGCUAGAGUGCAGGAGAGGAAGGUAGAAUUCCCGGUGUAGCGGUGAAAUGCGUAGAGAUCGGGAGGAAUACCAGUGGCGAAGGCGGCCUUCUGGACUGACACUGACACUGAGGUGCGAAAGCGUGGGUAGCAAACAGGAUUAGAUACCCUGGUAGUCCACGCCGUAAACGAUGUCGACCAGCCGUUGGGUGCCUAGCGCACUUUGUGGCGAAGUUAACGCGAUAAGUCGACCGCCUGGGGAGUACGGCCGCAAGGUUAAAACUCAAUGAAUUUGACGGGGGCCCGCACAAGCGGUGGAGCAUGUGGUUUAAUUCGAUGCAACGCGAAGAA
rnacentral:rRNA from 1 species